GGUUGAUUCAGUUUCUUGGUGCAUGGAGGAAAGCUGAUAGAAGUCAAAGAGAAAAGGAGAGAGAAGGCUGCAUUUAGAGGAAGCAUGAAAUUAGUCAUUGGAAAAUGGAAAGAGUUUAGAAUGAGUUAAUAAUUAUUAAAGGCAAACAAUAGCAAAAUUCUUUGGAGGAGACAAUAUUGGGUUAGUUGGACAUUGUAGGCAUUUUCAUAGGCCAAUGGGUUCCUAUUAUGCAAACAGCUGAUCUUGAGUCCUUUAAAACUAUUUUGAGCAGCCACACGUUCCCAAAUUAAAACUAACCAGAUGGACUCAAGAUCUUAUGAAACAAGACCUAACUUUUGCAUAUGCUCCAACUUGAUUUACACCAAAAUAAAUUAAAGGUGGCUUUCUAACAUAAUGGUAAAUUGUAUACUUGUUGUUGUACUUUGUUCUGCCUACUGGUUAUCUCAUGGAUGGAACAAAAUGCCAAGAUCGUUCAAUAACCGAACCACCUAGUUACCUUGCCAGGUGAAAUCGGAAGCUGCAAAACAGGAACAAGUUAGUAUAUGGCUGAGCCGUGGACACGCUCUCUUUAAGACGUUUCGUGACUUUGCUCUCUUUGUGCAAACAAAUUGAUCGUCUCGUCAUCCCCAAGAUAAAACAACCUUGGUCUUCAAUUGGUUUUGCUCCACUCAACAUACACACAUUUGCUUGGAAGACUUCUCUAUUACAGAGAGGAAAUCGUUUAUGCGUGCUUUCAGGAAGAAAGUAAUAUAUGACUUAUAUAUAUAUAUAUAUAGUAAUAGGUGGGAAAAGCAACCAAUGACCACAAAAAUUAAUGAGAAAACUUGGGAGGCAAUCAAACGGUUUAUUUAGAAAACCGAAAACCAUUUAAUUAUAAAACAGUUUUGGUUUUUGGAAAGUCAAAGAAAAUCGUUUUAUUAUAAAGAAAACGUCGUCUCGCGUGUGGAGAUAUGGACAUAUCCACAUUUGCCUAUCUCAUCUCUCCUUCGAAAACUUAGGUAUCUUGAGGGCCUAAACCCAUGAAUGAAACAACGAAUAUAUGAGGAGACUCUUGGGAAUGCAAGUUUUGAAAAAAACAAUAAUAUAUUUUUUCUUUCACAAAUUUUUCAUCCAAC
rnacentral:lncRNA from 1 species